UAUACAACAGUUAGUAACAGACUAUGUUUUACACAGUAACAGCUUCCGUUGUACCUGUUCUCUGUCCUGUGUGACUUUGACAGUAAAAAAAAAAGAAGGAAACUCUGUCUCUCCCCAUGAGUACAAGCACAUGUGAUCACAGUACAACUUCUGAGGCUAGACCAUAAGGAGCUCUUCCAAAUGAGAUCACCAGGGAAGAGUUCUGAGGUAACGCCAGUCACCAUGCAAACCCACCAGACGUUUACACGGCUUCUUCGUCCCUUCCUGGUACGAGAAAAGCGUUUGCUGGGGACUUGUGCUUCUUAAACGGGAAUAUUCAAAAAAUGCUGGGCAAUAUCUGCGCCACGGGGCACCAUCUCCCUCCACCGAAGAAGUCCUAGUCACUGCCAAAGUGUGAAAAUCGGGGUACCCAGAGGCACAGAAGCAGGGAGGACUGAGCAGUUGAGAGCAGCCACCCUUGUCCUGUCUCAGCAGCCACAUGGGACAGAUAGGCUUGGUUUUGCCGCAGGGGAUAGGUGUGUGGGCUGAGCUCAGCAAAUCGAAUAGCACACCUGGGAUGAAGUCUGUGUAGUUCUCAGCUUGAAACGAUUCCCCAUUUCAAGUCCAUAAGGCCCUCCGUGUACGGCGUCAGUUUUGCUUAGCUGCGGCAGCCACAAAGAAGCAAUUUAUUGAAGAGCUGAAACGGCUCUCCUUCAAUGGGCUGACAGGCAAAUAUUUGAGGGAACGCUUCGCUGGCCGCCUACCGUUGUGAACAGACAUCUGCCAGCGCUGUUGAUUGGCAUCCUUCCUGAGUUAAGUCAUCUUGCCCAGCCUUGCUAAAAACUCUCAAGUACAAGUUUAUUCUUGUCGCUUGCAUACCAUUCUCUGGAGGGCUGUUCUCAAGGAUGCCUGCAGAGAAAAGCUUCCUUCCUUUCCCCUCAGCCCAAGUCUCUGAGGACCAUAAGGAGGGGGAGUCAGGGAAACUUCCCUGGUAGAAGUGAAGAUCCAGGGCUGGAGAGAUGGCAGAGCAGUUAAGAGCACCAGCACCAACUGCUCUUCUGAAGGUCGUGAGUUCAAAUCCCAGCAACCAACCACAUGGUGGCUCACAACCAUCUGUAACAUCCCUCUUCUGGAGUACUUACAUAUAAUAAACAAAUAAUUCAAAAAAAAAUUGAAAAUCCAUUGUCAAGGUCUCUUCAGAUGGCAUCUUUGUUUAACUUUUGAAGCUCCACACAGCAGUCAGAUAAAAAUGAAGAUAUUAAGACUUUAGAAGAAACACUCGUCCAUAUCGCUAAUGGGUUUUAUGAUGAGAUGUGGAAAAACUGGUACCUAACUAUCCACCCUCCCUCACCAAGUGAUUGUUAAAUGUGUUUCCGUGAGAAACGAACUCAGCCAAAGAGUGCUCGCUGAACUACAAAAUCAACAUUCUGAAAUAGCUCCAUGGAUAUUUUCUGCUUUCAAAAUGUGUUUUGUCACCUCAAACUGUAUGGAAGCUUCUGGAAGCAUGCCGUGUGUCCUGCUGUCUGUGCUGUGGAAGGGCACAGCUCCCGCUGUCCUCUGCCGAGAUCAUUUUAUUUAACAAGGUUGUGAAAUCAACUAGGGUUCUUACUUUCCAUGGGAGAGAUCUAAGAUUUGGUGAGCUCACUGGCCCUCCUCGCUGUGGCUUGGGAUUGAAGUGUCCUCCCAGAGCUCAUGUAUUGAAAUAUAGUUGUGUUCAGAAGUGGGAGAUGAUUAGAUCUGGAAGAUUCUGGCCUCAUCUGGAUAUUGCUCCUUUGAGGGGUACAUAAGCUCAAAACAUCUUUGGGAAAUGGGGAACACUUGAAGAGGUAGGACUGGUCGGAGGAAACAGAUCCGUGGGAAUGUGUCUGGGAAGGCUGUGUCUUAGGCUGAGCAACUUUGCUCCCAUCAAGACUUAGUCCUGCCAUGAGCUUUAGCCUCAUUUUGGAACCAAAAUGACCAUGGUCUGGAACCUCUGAAACCAAGAUCUGAAAUUAAGUCUUUGUCUUUUUCAUUUAAGUUUCUGCUCUGCUAGUUUGUUACAGUAGUAGAGACCUGACUUACACAGCCCUACAAGAAGUGUUUUAAGAACUGGAUCCUGCCUGGUCCUUGAUUCUGAAGCCCAUGGCUUUGACUCUUCAUUGAGUACUAGAAUGCCAUAUUGAUCAGUUUUAUUGACUUAUUGGUUUUAUACUGAGAUCCAUAUAGUUUCCAAUUUCAUGUAAAAUGAGAGCAAAUAAAAAGUAUUUAAGA
rnacentral:lncRNA from 1 species